GACUACCCGGGUAUCUAAGCCCGUUCGCUACCCACGCUUUCGCUCCUCAGUGUCAGGUAAUGCCCAGAAGACUGUCUUCACCAUUGGCGUUCCUUACGAUAUCUACGCAUUCCACCGCUACACCGUAAGUUCCAUCUUCCCCUGCAUACCUCUAGAUAAUGAGUUUUGGAUACAUUUCCCAAGUUGAGCCUGGGUAUUUAAUAUCCAACUUUAAAAUCCACCUACGAGCUCUUUACGCCCAAUAAAUCCGGAUAACGUUUGCACCCUACGUAUUACCGCGGCUGCUGGCACGUAGUUAGCCGGUGCUUAUUCAUCAGGUACAUUCAAGAUUAUUCCCUGAUAAAAGAAGUUUACAAUCCGAAAACCUUCAUCCUUCACGCAGUAUUGCUGCAUCAGGCUUGCGCCCAUUGUGCAAAAUUCCCCACUGCAGCCCCCCGUAGG
rnacentral:rRNA from 1 species